UUCCCUUGCCAAGUUUUGCAGCCUGCCAUGUUGUCUAUUCUGCUCAGCUAUUUAAAAAAUGUUGAAUAUCAACAAUGGCUUUCACUGGUGCAUUGUCAACUUUUGUAUGAAGCAAUCUUGGCUGAAUGAGAUGGGUCCCAGAGCAGGGAGAGCUCAGCUGCAGUGUGCACUACCAUACCAGUGGCUGCCCAGCUCUCUCACGCUUUUAUAUUUCUCUGCUGCACUGGGAGCCGCCUUGGUGGAGGUACUCCUGUUUCAAUGGCUGUGGCUGGAGGCUCAGGGCCGUGGAUGCCAUCUUAGAGUCCGUGGUCCUGCUCUCGGGGCCUGCUGACAGUCAGCUGUUGAAGGUGUGUCUAACUGAGGGAUUGGGAAACGGCAGCAGCAGCAGCCUUGGGACCAGUGAGAGCUUUGGUUUGAGUGACAGUCCCCUUCCUGCUAAUGACUGAACUUCCGCCGCCUCGGUCAGGAGAUGGUCACUGAGGUCCGAACAUGUGGUUUGGGCCUGAAAGACGUGCCAGACCUGCUGCCAAAGCAUCGGCCUCCACCUCACCCUGCAGACAUGGCUGAACACACAUGCAUGCAUACACACAGUAGAAGCACGCACACAUACACCAUGUAAAAAAACAUCAUGCUUAUCUCUCAUUUGUGUUUUCAGGCAUUCUUUACUUCCUCAUAUUUCCGUACAGCAGCUUGCAUAUGCGCCCAAGACUGUAUUCUGUGUGGAUGUACACACACAUUCUCCUGCCGCCUCGACAUUCUGUCUGUCUCCGUCUCUGAUGAUGGACGUCACAUACUCUCAUGCCACGUGUCCCACUUAGACACGACCGAGCCACAUUCACACGGUUUCCCUCGACACAAACAUAAACAUGCGUUGAUUUGUCAGUUGACUCUCAGGCAUGCCCUAUUUUUAUAACUGUGCGCACACCUACACACAUUCUCCCAUGCUGGGGCACACCCACCGAAGCCCAUGUCAUGCAGUCGCUCCUCUCAUCGGAGGACACCCUGCACAGUUGUGAAGGAGAGAAAUUAGUCAGGUGAAGUAAAUCUCGUCACCUGACACUAGUGGUCUCUCUUUAAAGUUGUUUUCACUGCCGCCCCCACACUUAAUGGUACAGCACCUACUGAUUAUUGCACGCUCUGUGCUAGGCUGGUAAUUGCACGGUACAUACCUGUCCAGGGUGUAAGCCCAUCGGCUGAACAUGGGGCCCCUCUGUUAGCUGGCUCACCUCAUUGUAGUAACUGAGAGAGGGAGCCUCUUGUCUGUCAUUCAGGAUCACUCAUUGUUAGCAUGCAUCCCCAACUCUGCGAUGCAUGUGAGGGUUAAUUCACAGAAACGUGCUUCACUGUGUGCUUCCAAUCAGCUGGUGUUUAUUAAAAGUUCAGUGACAGAUAGCCAGUAACAACAAUGUUUGCAGAAGCUUAAGAUAACACAUAGCACGAGAAUCAACCCUUCAAAAGUUAAGUCAUGAUGGUUUUCAACAGUCAUCUGGCAUAUGAAUCAGAGCGCACUUCUUAAUCCUGCGGUUAUUUUCAUGACAACUGAAUGAGUCACACUCCAGUGGUGAUGUGUGGUAAUACAUUUUGCAGCUGGUAAUUGUAAAGACAUUGGAACGUUUUUAUAUAUAUAUAUAUAUAUAUAUAUAUAUAUAUAUAUAUAUAUACGUGUGUGUGUGUGUGUGUGUGUAUAUAUAUAUUUUUUAUUUGUUGCUUUCUUUGGCGAUAAGUUUCACUAACAUCAGUGCUGAGUGUUGAGACAUUACCUGUAUCUUUUUUAUCAGAUUGUAUCAGUGGCCUGUUUUGGCUCUUGUUUCUCAAGAAGCUGAUAUAAAAGCCACCCACUCUUACAUUAUAUGUGCUUGCGUUGCUGCUCAGUAUGUUGUCUGUGUAUGGCAGCACUGACUUUCAUGUAAACCUUUAACUAAAAACACUGUUAAAUAUCCUGGUAAGGCACUGAUGUUGCCUUAAUGAGGAUUUGUCAGGAAAGUAGAGUCAUUUAUCAAUAUUGUUUGAGAAACAGAAAAGACUGGAUAAGAAAGUAAUAGUAAAUGAAGGCUCACAGAGAGCUUAACUUGUCUAAAUUCAGAGUAUUUACCAACUUGUUCUGGGGAGAAGCAAACUGGAAUGAGGAGUGGCUGCAGAAGUUUGUCACAUGAGCUCUCUCUGAAAACACUCAGCUUAUUACCGAAUAAACACAGUUCAGAAUAUUAAUGCAUCAUAUCAAUGCUAGAAAGGAAAGUUUAAAUAGCUUGUUUUCACCAUACUUUAUGUUGCACAUUGUUAUUAGCUGCUUGAUAAUUUACUAUUAAUUGCAUAUUUUUGAUAUUUUAAAUUCCUGUGGAAGAACCAUCACAUGAAUAUAAUAUAAUAUAAUAUAAUCCUGAUACAAACUCAUUUUAUUUCCUUUGUUUCUAUCUAGUCAGAACAAACAAAUAAUAUAUUAAAAUUGGUUAUCUUCAUCCUCAAUUUGUUUUUUGAAAAUAAGUAGAUUUUUAAAAAGUUGGUUAAAAUAAAUUUUUCAUUAUUAUUUAUUGUCAAAAACAACAAUAUAAACAAAGGAGGUUUUAUGGAUUUAAGGAGGUUUGAUGGAUAAGAGAACAGGGAGACAUGGUUGGAAUUGGAGCCUUCAAUCUCUAUGCAGUUUACAGGAUUAAAGACAAAACUAUGCUGGAAUUUUGAAGCAUGCUUAAAUGCAGAUGUAACACAGUGACAGGUGGAUUGCAGAGUUGACAGCUAAUUCAGAAAGGUUAAAAAAACAUCCUCCCUGGGCUCAUUUUUUGGAGUGUGCUGGUGUUAUCUGUGGAUACUGGAGGUCACAGGAUGAGGGCAAAUAGCAAAAAUAGCGCAGACUCACACAUGAACUCCGGUCACUGUUUAUGACAGACUUACACACCGAGAUUGAUUUAAAGCAGCUUUUUUACAUGCGUGACAAGUCCUCCGUCGGCCGUGAGGUGUUGCUACGCUGGUUAGGAGUUGGUGGUUGUUGUUGUUAUUGAUAGCCACGGGCCUGUGGCUCUUUCUGGGUGACAGUAACGGGAGUUAACACUAGUAAAUCUUCAUGAGACCUCCUUCCUCCCCUCUAAUUCCUGAUUACCUCACGGCAGGUUGUCUCGGGAGAGAUUUAGGAAGCCUGCAAGGCUGCUUCAGAAGAGAAGAGCGUACGACUGAGUGUGUGUUAAUCUACGUGGUGAGUGUGAGACCACAGGGGAGGACUGUGGCUUUGGGUUAGGUGUAUGACCGCCGACCACAAGCACGUAACUCCACUUGGGGCCUCCAUCCUUGGCUGUGUGUGGUUUCAUGCUCCAGGUGGACAGAUGCAGGGCUCUGACUAACCAUUUUCAACAGCUGUAAUCUAAAAUUGGAAGAUAAAAACCUGACUAAUCGGUCUUCUCUGCUCCUCUCGGUCGGUCGUGUCACAGCACAGUAUUUCAGGGCAAGUGUCACAUCUUAUUUACUCUGUUAAUUCUGCCUAAAUGUUUACAGACUAAUGAAAGGACUCCGUGUUUUCUCAUCCUUUCAGUCUACAUCAGUGUAACCGAACACCCAGCCCCCACCCAGCCAAACUCAUCUAUUUAACUACCUGGCUGUCUGUGUCUUAACCUGUGUCUUUAAACAAACCUAUAAAAUCACUGUUGGUUCCCAACACUGUUUAAACAAGAACUUUUUCUGAAUUGGAGCCUGCAGGGGAGCCUGGUGUGAUCUGUUUACUAGCUCCCACUAGUGGUGAAACAGCAGUACUGUUAAACCAAACCAAAGAGGUGAACAGAUUGUGUUAAGAUUGUAAAGCAUUUCAUGUUGAAUAAGAGAGAUGUCCUGUUUUACAGGUAUUAAUUCAAGUUAGAUACAUGUAAUUUAUUUUGUAUCAACAACAUAAACCGGAGGUACCUGUUUUAAUUCUACAAAGGAAUUAAUAAGACAAGCCUAAGACACAUUUACUAUUUUCUUUCAGCUUACACUCCAUUCCUUAUCAUGUAUCAUGCAAUAAGAAUGCACUGACAAGUGGGUGUAAUGACUUUUUCCUUUCUUCGCAUGGCUAUCCUCUUUGUGAAUACAUGUUGUUGUGGUGUUGAAGUGAAUCAUUCAGCAGUUUGUGUGAUCCCCUCUACGGCAUUGUGUCUCCUGCGACAGUGUUUACUGAUAAUUGAGUAAUUACCUGUAAAAGAUAGCACUCCUGUGGUUCUGUUCAGCAGUAAUCUUCUCAUCUUCAGAUCAGGUUUUAGCUUGGGAAGAAGCUAAAAUACAACCGUUUUGUGCUUCUCUCUGUGUAAACGUGUGUGUGUGUGAGUUACAUACUGUGUAUAUGCAUAACCGCUCUUACACUCCCACUAAAGUGGCCUCGGUAUGUGAAAUCUCAGGAAACAAGAAAGUGUUUAAAGAAUCAUUUGCCAACUCUGACAAGAUGAUGGUGGGCCAUUUGAAAAUGCACAAAAUCACAGGACAAUAAUUUGACAUUCCUUUGUGAGUUUCACAAUCCCACAGUGAAUGGAAAGUUGUAACAGGCACUUUGUGCGUACACUAGUGGCCUCACCCACAAUGGCAUUUGAAAGACAAACAGCAGUGCGUGCUGCUGGCCAGAGCUCCACAGCAGUGAAAGUGUUCAUUCUUUUUGACUUACAGCAGCCAAAGUUCAGCGUAAUGCCCGUGUCAUUACAGUGUAAAGAAGCCUUUGUAAGUCACCCCUGUCGCCGUCCUGGUUUUCUUAGGCUACUCGCUUUGUUUUAAAGUUUUUUAAGUAGCUCAUCUUCUUUCUUUCUUUCUUUCUUUCUUUCUUUCUUUCUUUCUUUCUUUCUUUCUUUCUUUCUUUCUUUCUUUCUUUCUUUCUAUUUGUCUGUGUCUUCAUAUUAAAGAAUAGGUUCUUAUAUUGUCACGGCUACCUGAAAAAAACAGUCCGUCACCAAUAUGAACGGUGGAACAGAUUUUCAGUCAUCAUUCUGUUAAAGGUGGCCUUUUAAAAAAAAUCCCCUACUAAUGUGCCUUAAACAGGGACAGAAUGUGGGUCACAGUUCAAUGCAAAAAUAUGUUCUGUCUGGCGUCAGUCAAAUUAAGUGAGUAUGUUUCUGAGUUCCAGUCUCUUUAAAAUUAAAAUCCUCCUUUGAAUCCAGUUUUUCUCUACUUAAAUAUUAAAUAUUUUACAAAACAGACUGGAACUUUGCAAGAAAACUGUUUAAUUCAGACAGCCCAGUCCUCAUAACAGCUUUAGAUAAACUUUUCAAUACACGUCUCUCUGGAAUGCAGACUGUAGUUUUUGUCCUAAAUCACAGUGGAAGCACAUUACGAAGGGAGUUUUUCAUACGAUCGGGAGGAAUGAUUACAGCAACUUAUGACCAUUUUAGUGUCUAUAUAGACACCUGGCUUUUGUUUUGCUGAAAAAAUUACAAACCUGUCUUUAAACAAAACAGCUGCUCAUCAUCCUCCCUCCUCACCUCUGGCAUGGGAGUGCAGCACAAUGGGAAUCCUCACAUAUCCUGGUGUUGCCAUCCACUGACGCGGCCUAAUUUCUUUUCCUCUUUCUUCAGUUUUUGUCCAAAAAAGCGACCAGCUUCAAACUGGGCCUCUACCCAGAAACGGAGCGGUACAGGCUGGAAUAUUCGGUUACGGAUACAUUUCCAUUCGAUUGUCCUAAAAGGGGACGAGAAGAAGUAAGCGAUAUGACUUAAGGGGAUCAUAUUAAUGUGACACACACACACAAUAAUCCCACAGGACUUCCUUCCCAUUCCCAUUAGAAACCACACCCAGGAGGACAGGUAACACGAGAACACCUUUCACAGGGUCAGAUUGGAAGAGGUGGGAAAACAGGCAAGGUUACUCUCUGAUUAUUUCUUCACCACUUCAUAGUUUGUUUCUUCGUCACUUCUUUCUCUUUCACUUUCAAACCAUCUCUACUCUCUCGCGAGCACAGUAUCUGAUCCAUUUUAAUGCAGGUAUUGACUGAUAAUUUAAAGUGGCUCAUGCAUGCCAUCUACCCAAACUGAUCGGCCAGUCACUUUUUUUUUCUUCUUCUUCUUCCUCUCCACCGUUUGCUGGAGGGUUGGUGCUCUCAAAGAGACAGUAAUAUGCACUGAUGUAAUGUGUGUGAUAGGGAUCUUUUGUGGGUGCGUUAUAAAUUGUACCAUAAUGUGAGUGUGCAGGGAGCUGGGUUGUGGAGGUGGGUGGAGGCGGAGGGGUGAGCCGAGAGGAGGGGCGGGUGGAUCAAGCAGUGUCACUGGAAUCCACAGUGUUGUGAGAGCCCCAUACCUUUCAGCUUCAUUAAACCAAUUUCACGCCGAGGUGAGCUAAGAGAGGAAGCUCUGAAUCUCAGCAGCAGCAACAAUGGCGCAUUGAAGGGAUGAGGCGAAAGUAAAUUAGGUACCACUUCACAGACGGCAAAUUAAAAUCUGAAAGUUGGAUAGGAAAAGUUGAGGGUAGAUGAUUAUGUCUUUAUUGUGCCCUCUCUCCUCAAUCUAGAAAAACCCUCCCUUCCUUUUAGCAACCACCUUUGCCCCCCUCUACACACACAUCCCACAACCCAAUCCUCUAAGAAAAAAUAAUGAUCUAUUUCUUGUCUGGUAAUUGGUUUCUAAGAUGCUCCCACUCAAAGACCCGAUCUCAAAUACCAAGCUGCUUAUGACCCUCCUUUCAGCCACUUAAUUUGCUUGAGCUUAUCAGUAAGAUUUCAUAUCCAGGAAAAUCAUAUAAAUUAAACAUUAAUGUAGGGCUUAUUUCUGCGCUAUCAUUGACCUCCAACAGCCAUUGAGCUACUUUAUCGAGUUUAGGACUGUGUUUGUCAGUCAAACCAAUGUGAAGACUUCAACUCAGACCUGCGCCUCACACUUUAGAGAUAUUUGCUGAAAUAUCACUGGAUAAAUGUUGUUACGCAAGGCAAGGUAUUCGUUGUUUUUGCAUUUAUUUUAUCAAUCAACUAAUAAUAUAGUAACCGUUAUUUUACUGAUGAUAUUUAGUUAAUGCAGCAAAAGAAAAGAGUGUGAUUUCUGCAAAACUCAGAGCUACGGGGUCUUGAUGAUUGUACUGCGAACAUCAAGUGGUUAUAUUACAAUUACACACAAAGGAAAUUGUAAAAAAGAGAGAGAGAGAGAUGAUGAAAAAGUCCUUUUGUACUCUGAUGUUUCAGAUCAUUUCAUGUUUUUCUUAUUUAAGUAAAAGCUGAUAAACCUCAUGGUGAAAAGGUGCCAUUUCUAUAAGAUUCCAGAAUUUGAGAUUUCAUUUAAGUAAAACACUAAUCUCCAAAUCCUUCUUAAGUAUUGCAGGUAAAGGUAACAUACAUUAUAUUACAUUAUAUAACACGUAUCUAUAUAUAGUGGUCUCUGAACAGAUAAGCAACAUUUGAAUGUUUGAUCUGAUAAAGUUAAAGCUUAUUCUAACUGCUUUGUAUACAGUUUGAUGUGUAACAAUGCAUUUUUUUUUAGGAUGGCAAAAUGUUAAUCUGCAAAGUAACUGGCAAUUCAUCAUUCUGUGAAAUUUUCUGGUGUGAAGCAGCAACAACCUUGAAUUUGUGUAAAUAAGUUCAGUAUUGGCAUAAACGUGCUUUAAACCAGCCCUAAUCCUCACAGUGAUUGCUUUUUAUUGACUUUUAGUGUAAAAUCUUAUCUUUGUCUUGCAGUAGCAACCACUGGAUACUUUCAGUACAGAGGUUAGAAAUAAAGAAUGAAAGAGAAUUCAUAGAACAGUGUUUGUUUUCAAAUGGGACACUGAGAGGUGUGCAUGUGCAAUUUUAAUGUACUUGUGUUCAUGUAGACGCCCAACUGGAGGGAGCUUAUAAGCGUGUACGUCAGCCUUGGUGGGCGCUAAAACGAGCUCUCUUAGUGGCUGGUGGGGUCACUCUGGGAGCCAUGGGGGCCCCACACAAUGCCCUGGCAGCAGUGUGGCUUUUACUAGGCCUCGCGCUGCUGGGUUUACGAGAGCCAGACAGACGGAUCUCCUUCACGCCAUAAAGCCAUCAACAAGGGAACAAAGAGGGCAGGUGCUGAGGGCUGUAUUGAGAGCUCACCUGCACCCAGCGGGAGAACAUACUGUGUCCAGCCAAGCCAAGAGCCUCUCCACAUUCACAUCCCCACUCACCAGGCACUAACGGGCUCGCAUCGGGUCCGCCGAAGAGAGAUUAUUUCUCUUUGCGGAAAAAAAGCAAAUCGUCAGUUGAUGGUGUACAUGAUCAAAGUGCAUGUACUGUAUACGCUGUGGUAAAUGAUUUUGUUCAAUGAAUGUCGGCUUCCGUAAGAACCAAACAGGCCAGAACAGGCUGCUGCUAAACUCUGUAAUUAUCAACGUUUGACAGGUAGUGAGAGUGAAGGCUUUGGGUGCCGGCCAAUUAGGACUGCUUUCCAGAAUUUUUUCAUGAGAUUAUUUUAGUGCAGGAUGUGACACAUCAGGUGUUUGUGUGUGCAAAGUAUUAGUGGGGAUUUACAUAAUGAGACGGUGAAAAUACAUGGGAAAAGAUCCGGGUAAGAUUUAACAGGGCCGCGCAGGGAAUCAGGCAGACAGAGACCCCAAAAAAGAGGCAUAUGGUAAACCUUAGCAACAGCCCAAACCCCAGCCACAGGUAGGCAUGGCAUCAGGCAGGCAGGCCGACAGUCAGCGGGGGCAGACUAAGAGCUGCUGCCCCGGUUGAGGUGACAGAUGUGUGGUGAAUCUUUAACUCUGCUAGUUCCCCACUGUCACAGCAUCUGUCCCUGCUCUCCGCAAGGUUGGCUCAGCCCCCUCCUGUGUGAAAAAGCUGACUGAAAAGAGAGCUAUCACUGGACUUAUUGAUUAGCCCUGGCUGGCUACAUUUAAUGACCUCUGGGAGUCAUUAUUGAAAAGUCAUUGUCUUUGCGAUUAGUUCACACUUUCUCCUACCAUAUGGGAAUCCUCCUGUUGCAACCUCAAGGGUGAAAUUCUUAAUGUGCCUCAGCAGAACAAGAGUGCACUUGUUGACUAAUUGAAAAUAAAUCUGAAGAUAUUUGAUUUUUGUUUACAUAUCUAAUCCUCUUUCUGAAAAAUGAGGUCACAUUGGGGGACAUGCUCAACAACAACAGCAUAAGUACGAAGCUGGCGUAUGGUCUCAACUGAAACAGCAACCCCUUCCAUUGUCUCCGUUUAAAUCCUGCUAUAGAACAACAUAUCACUGACAGUAUAAAUGAUACAUCCCACUUUAUUCUCAUUUACGCAUUCUGUCUAAUCUCCUCAGACGGCCCAAAUGGCAGGGACAGUGUCCCUCUCUCUUUCCCCACUCAGCCAUGGCACUGGCAAGAGAUGGUUUAUUUUAAUUGAAAAUUAGCAAAACAAAACAAGGGCAAGAGGAUCCCUGAAUGGGGCCCCUUUCUCCGGGAGCUCCUGUGCCGUUGAAUAAUGCAUAUGGGAGAAAGUAAACAGCAGCCGCGGGCCUUGCUGGGGGAACAAUGGGCCGCACACAGCCCAACCAGGGCGCCUGAUUUUAUUACUGGCCUGUCAAUCCCCCCAGCCUGGGAACUGUGGGACCUAGGCCAGGCAGCAGCUGCUGACCGCUCCACACUGACCCAACACUCCCAACAACCUGCAGGAUAAAACUCUCACACCGCUGCAUACCUCCACUGACUGCACUGCCCACUCCUAAUCUGUCCAUUCACACACUCAACAUGGGGGAACUGAAUCAAUUUCCUGUUUGGGUGGAUGAUCCAUUCAGUCUCACUUUUCUGAACUGAUCGAAAAUUUACUUCGAGGAUACAACUUUGGGAAAGGUGAUAAUGACAAUUUGCUUGAAGAUGAGAUGAAAAUUUAACCGAGCUAUGAAAUUUCAUUUGCAGCUCAGUGAGCAUUAAGAUAGAAUUUUUCCUGCAUAAAAUACAUAUGGUUUAAUUUGUUGGGUUUCAGAGCAACUCCAUCCCAUCGCCGAACCACUGCUCUGGGGUCACUGUGGCCACUUGUAAACUUUUUCCUUCCACUAGAACAUUCUUUGUGUGUGUGUUCCCUCUCUGGGCAUUGAGAUUCUGGUCUUGCUUCUGGCUUCAGCCAAGUCCCGGUUGCCAUGCCGACUGGCAACUGGUCUCCCAGGAUGAGUAAUGAUGUGAUGUGGCUGUGCUCUAAAGUCCCAACAAAGACCUUAUUACCGCUGCAGCACCUCAUAACACACUAUUGUUGUCAAGUGCUCCUGAUAUUAACCUGCCUGCACCGGGGCUUCCUCCCUUCACACAGGAGAUAUGUGUGUGAGUGUGAGUGUGUGUGUGAGUCCAAUCGUGCAAGCAUUUUGAGGGCGAGUGCUGAUGAAAGUUGGCCAAAAAGAGCCAUACUCAGAAUUUUACUCUGACUGAAGUUGAUAAAUUUUAUCCUACUACAAUGAGAGUCAUCAUUUUAGUUUUGCCAGUUUAUUCGUCACUGCAUUUAAUUUAGGCUUAAAGUAACACCUUUUCCCCGUCUGAAGCUUUAAUUAUCUUCACUGCGAAAGCGUUUUGUGUUUAUAUGUCCUCAUGAAAAAUAAGAGUAUUAAUGUUUCUAAAACAUAAAUUCAGGAUCCCCUGUACCUCAAAAAAAAAAAAACAAUAUCCUUGGGCCUGUGAACAGUCCACAGGGGCUAGACCCCAUCCAAGUGUGAACUGCCAUAAAAGAGGAGUGUGUGUGUGUGUGUGUGUGUGUGUGUGUGUGUGUGUGUGUGUGUGUGUGUGUGUGUGUGUGUGUGUGUGUAUUGGAGUUGUGGGGCUGUGGGCUAUAUAGGCAGGGUGAUGCCACAGGAUGUUUGAGUGUUUGACUUGGUUUAACAACAUCCUCUGACAGAGACACCACAGGCUGCAGAUGAGGUGGGAGAUAAAAAAGCAACUGUGAUCCAGGCCUUCACCCCGACCAUUGUCACUGCUUAUCUCUAAUGCAAGGCUAUCGCUAAUAGUGAGGAGGAGAGAGGAGGAGAUAGAGGGAGGUGUUGCCACAGAUAAAAGAACAAAGGCUCAAUUUUUUGUUAAUUGAAGUGUGAUUUGUGGCUGUAACAUCCCAGUAAUGUUUACAGUGGUUAUUUGCACGCUGUAAAGUUCAUAUGUUUUGAAAUAAAAUGAUAAACUAUCAUGAAAUGGUGGAAUGGUCAUGUACAUGCAAACACCCACUGUCAUCACAUUCACGAAGCCCCAAGGUUUGUUAUUUGAUGUCUUCAUGGACGGAUUUCAGAAUGGAGCCGUCUUUGUUUCAGCCUGAUGAAGCGUACACUCAGGUGUGUCACACAGGAUGUCUUGUCCUCUCCAGUUUCCUUGACUUCACCCAACAAGGGGGUCCACCGAGGAGGUUAUCGGGACAAAAUCACCACUCCAGCUCCAGAGUCCACCAGAAGGAAGGUGCAGGGGGGAGGGGCUUCUGGGCUGCAUACAUCACUGUCGCCGUGGGAAACCGCAUCCAUCAAAUAAAGUCAAGCAUUUACCUGCAUGGCUCAGGUGACACCGGAGGAGGGGCCGGAGGACUGGGAGACCGAGGGAUGGUAGGUGGCCCAGGGGUGAGAGAGUAACCCCAACCCUGUGGUGGUUGAGAGGUGGGUUGGGUUGGACGGAGAGGGGCAGCUGUGAUGAGCUGGGGGCAGCAGCACCUUCUGUCCUGGAGGCAGACAGGGAGACUGGGAGAAUUCUGCCUCCUGACAGGGCCAGCUAUCCCUGGGGAGACAGAACCUCCACCCUCCUUCUCAUCUUCCCAGCAAUACCACAACUAGACUGGGAGAUACAUUCUGCACAUUUACUUGCUGUAUUUGUGUGUAUAAGAAAAGUAAAGUUGUUUUCAAAUA